UACGUAGGGGGCAAGCGUUGUCCGGAAUCAUUGGGCGUAAAGCGCGUGUAGGCGGCCCGAUAAGUCCGCUGUGAAAGUCCAGGGCUCAACCCUGGAAUGCCGGUGGAUACUGUCGGGCUCGAGUCCGGAAGAGGCGAGUGGAAUUCCUGGUGUAGCGGUGAAAUGCGCAGAUAUCAGGAGGAACACCAAUGGCGAAGGCAGCUCGCUGGGACGGUACUGACGCUGAGACGCGAAAGCGUUGGGAGCAAACAGG
rnacentral:rRNA from 1 species